GGCAAGGUGGCCGAGUGGUUAUGGCGUGCGGUUCAGGUUAAAACUGAACAUUCAGUGUCCGCAUGGUGCAAACCGCGUGGGUUCGAAUCCCACCCUUGUCA
rfam:Aspergillus terreus NIH2624 scaffold_15 genomic scaffold, whole genome shotgun sequence.